UGGAAUUUCAUAGGAGUGUUAUUCAUCCA
rnacentral:piRNA from 1 species